UACGUAGGCAGCAAGCGUUGUUCGGAAUUACUGGGCGUAAAGAGUGUGUAGGUGGUGUCGUAAGUUUGGUGUGAAAUCUCCCGGCUUAACUGGGAGGGUGCGCCGAAGACUGCGAUGCUGGAGUAUGGGAGAGGAAAGCGGAAUUCCUGGUGUAGCGGUGAAAUGCGUAGAUAUCAGGAGGAACACCUGCGUUGUAGACGGCUUUCUGGACCAUUACUGACACUGAGACACGAAAGCGUGGGUAGCAAACAGG
rnacentral:rRNA from 1 species